UCCUAUCUGCUGUGUUCUCUUAGAAUCCUAAACAAAGUGCAAACUGUAUGAACAUGGAUGACAAGAGAAAUGACAGAGACUGAGCUUGUUGCUGUCUCUAUCCUCUGGGGCGCCCUUUCAGCUCAGGGGCUGCAGAGGAGGUUUUGUUUCCGUCCCUGUCCAUUGGUCUGUGUUGUUUGGUCUGUCAGGAGGACUACACACUUUAUGAAGGAUCAUCCUGAUGUCAUCAUCAUGUGAUACCACCGAGAUGUGUUGUCUCCACAUAAAUCAUCAUAAACACAAUCAUCAUCAUUGCAGUCUAAAUCUUGACACUUCAUUACACUCUCACGUCUGCAGAGUCCCGCAGAAUCCACAGUGCUCAGCCCGGGACCAGCAGGAGAACUAAUCGAACCUGAGCAGUGAGUCAUGCAGCUUUUCACCGCAGCACCAGACCCUGCUGGUGGAGAGGCGCCGGUAAUUGCUCUCGAUCGGUUCCGUCAGUGUCUCCACUGCAGGUGGAGGACGCCUUCCUCCUGUGUCCUCUGCAGCCAUGGAGGUAAGGAGCGGCAUGUCGCAGCCUUGGGGUGUCAGCUAACACAUGCAUGACGGAUAGAGUUCAAGAGUCCUGUGAAUUCAGUGGUGUCGCCAUGACGCUGGACGGGAAAGCGGGAGCAGGUCCAGCAGAGAAACAUCAGAUGACUGCGGAUCCAGCGCCGCGGGUCUCCUGCACGGUCCUGCCUCCUGUCAGAGGAGUGGCUGCUUCUUCAUUAUAACCGGCACACACGUGCUAUUCGCUGUCACGGAGAGACAAACACACACACACACACACACACACACACACAAACACACAGGCUGGCAUACGUUGACUCGUAUUUGUCCUGGUUGGCUGCAACCUGGAAGACGCAGAGUGGAGCAGCGGUUCAUGAAUUGAUGGCUGUUUGACAGGCUUUUUACGCACCGAUCCGACGGAGCAGUCAGGUAGAUGAUGGCGUCCCAUAAAGAUAGACGCAGGGAUCAAACCCCACAGGAGGAAAACUACGGAGAGAGGAGCAGCGGCGCCCCCUGUCCUGGAGACACCCUGCCCUGGAACCUGUCCAAACACCAGAGGGUCAAACGCUCUAAGUCGGCCUCAGGGGACGUCCUGGAUCCAGCAGAGAGGGCUGUGAUUCGUAUUGCAGAGACGUCCCCUCCUCUCCUGUCCAUCGGCUGCCUCCCACUCACACACUGUUUGAACUGCUGGCUUAGACAGGCUCCUGUGGCAGAGGUUUGAAAGCUACGAUGCUGCAUCAGAAGACAGAUGCCAC